rnacentral:rRNA from 1 species
UUGCCAGACUCCUACGGGAGGCAGCAGUGGGGAAUAUUGCGCAAUGGGCGAAAGCCUGACGCAGCGACGCCGCGUGAGGGAUGAAGGUCUUCGGAUCGUAAACCUCUGUCAGCAGGGAAGAACGGUCACUGUGCUAAUCAGCAGUGAAUUGACGGUACCUGCAAAGGAAGCACCGGCUAACUCCGUGCCAGCAGCCGCGGUAAUACGGAGGGUGCGAGCGUUAUCCGGAUUUAUUGGGUUUAAAGGGUGCGUAGGCGGAUUUUUAAGUCAGCGGUAAAAUGUCCGGGCUCAACCCGGGCCGGCCGUUGAAACUGGGGAUCUUGAGUGGGCGAGAAGUAUGCGGAAUGCGUGGUGUAGCGGUGAAAUGCAUAGAUAUCACGCAGAACUCCGAUUGCGAAGGCAGCAUACCGGCGCCCGACUGACGCUGAGGCACGAAAGCGUGGGGAUCGAACAGGAUUAGAUACCCGGGUAG